GUGGGGAAUAUUGGACAAUGGGGGCAACCCUGAUCCAGCAAUGCCGCGUGAGUGAUGAAGGCCUUAGGGUUGUAAAGCUCUUUUACCGGGGACGAUGAUGACGGUACCCGGAGAAUAAGCCCCGGCUAACUUCGUGCCAGCAGCCGCGGUAAUACGAAGGGGGCGAGCGUUGUUCGGAAUUACUGGGCGUAAAGGGCGCGUAGGCGGCGACCCAAGUCAGAUGUGAAAGUCCUGGGCUUAACCUGGGGACUGCAUUUGAUACUGGGUUGCUUGAAUUCGGGAGAGGAUAGCGGAAUUCCCAGUGUAGAGGUGAAAUUCGUAGAUAUUGGGAAGAACACCGGUGGCGAAGGCGGCUAUCUGGACCGACAUUGACGCUGAGGCGCGAAAGCGUGGGGAGCAAACAGGAUUAGAAACCCGGGUAGUCC
rnacentral:rRNA from 1 species